GAUGAACGCUGGCGGCGUGCUUAACACAUGCAAGUCGAACGGGAAUUCUUUUAUUGAAACUUCGGUCGAUUUAAUUUAAUUCUAGUGGCGGACGGGUGAGUAACGCGUGGGUAACCUGCCUUAUACAGGGGGAUAACAGUCAGAAAUGGCUGCUAAUACCGCAUAAGCGCACAGAGCUGCAUGGCUCAGUGUGAAAAACUCCGGUGGUAUAAGAUGGACCCGCGUUGGAUUAGCUGGUUGGUGGGGUAACGGCCCACCAAGGCGACGAUCCAUAGCCGGCCUGAGAGGGUGAACGGCCACAUUGGGACUGAGACACGGCCCAGACUCCUACGGGAGGCAGCAGUGGGGAAUAUUGCACAAUGGGGGAAACCCUGAUGCAGCGACGCCGCGUGAAGGAAGAAGUAUCUCGGUAUGUAAACUUCUAUCAGCAGGGAAGAUAGUGACGGUACCUGACUAAGAAGCCCCGGCUAACUACGUG
rnacentral:rRNA from 1 species